ACACAGGCAUUUCAUUUCAGUGCGGAUGAUGUAAAAUACGAACUUUUUUUGUAGUUACUGAACAACCUUUGAACAUUUCUGUGUGCUGCGAUUGGAUGGUUUUUUCAUUCCCAUUUGCGACGUAGACUUUGAAUUAUCAGUAAGCGCGCACAGUUAAGUCGCUUGCGUCUUUUCAAACAUCACACACAACAUUCAUCAACACUCAGCGAAUAAUGUUUCUUUUUUGUUGUUGUUGUUGUUGUUGUUGUAGUUUCGCUCAACAAAAAUAGUGGAAAAUUCAAAGGUUUUAAUUUUUCUUUCGUUGCCGAUUUCGUCGAAUCAUUUUAUUUUUGUAUGCCACCAAAUCAGUUGACAAGUAUUUUUAAAAUUGUGAUUCAGUUGUGAUAAUAAUGCAAGGCAAUAACCGAGAGCUGUAAACGUAAAUGUGCCCGCACUCGAACAGACAGAGGGAGAGAGAAAAGUGCCACUCGCUACAAAAAUUAUCAUAAUUUCAAGCAUAGUCCGUCGGAUGUUGGGAUCAAAAGGGGAAGUACCGAAAUCUAACGCCUCAUAAGCGCUCACGAUAAGUAUUCAAAGUUCAAAAUCGUUUGAAUAUUUUGUUGUAGUUAUCAUCAAUAUUGCUACAUUCAAAUAACAAGUUCGUUUCAUAUUCGAAUCAAGAAGAAAAAGAUGAAGAAAAAGAAAACUCAAAAUUCCAACCCAAUUCCAUUGAGAGUAUUUACAUUUUUCAUUUAUGAAUUCGAGUAAACAGCCAGUAUACACAGCAUAUUUUCAAAUUAUGAAUGAAUAGUAAUAAUAAGCGUUUUUGUUUCCCUUUUCUGGUGCUUCAUUGCGGCACCGCUGCAAUCAUUGUUGGUUAUUUUUUUUAUUCUCUUCUCUCAUUCGUUCACGACUGUCGCCGCCGUUACUUGAACGCUCUUCUUAUCAAUGAAUUCCGUCAACACUUUGAGAAAUGAAAGGAACAGAAGAAGAGGAAAAAAAACUGUAGCAAUCGCGUGUACAGAAGUAGAAAAGGAAGAGAAAAGAAAAUCACAAAAUUAAUAAUCACAUGAAAAAUAUUUGAAAUGAAAUAAAAAAAAUGUAACAAAAAAGAAGAAAUGAAUGAAAUGAGCGAGUGCGCGAUCGCGCGCGAAGUAAAGGAAUAGGAAAAAUUCAAGAAGCAGACCGUCGAAGUGAUUGCAAGCACAUACUGAGACGACUGAAGCACAGAAAAUUGAACAAGAUCGAGUCUCUCCUUUUUUUAGCACUACAUGAAAUGUAGAGCUACUAAUCUGCUCUUUUUUUCCUAGAUACUUUUUGAGUGUUGAAACAAAUUAUGGUGAAUUUGAAUUUUAUGCUAAUAUUUUUUAUUUAAUUUAAAACAGUGGCAGUAACGACAAAUAAGUGCAUAAUAUCUCAAAGCGCCAAUCAAAUUUUUAUUAUCAAAUGUUGUUUAAAAAUUACAUUAAUUUUUCGUAUAAUAUUUUCUGAGUCUGGCCCAAAAUUAAAGUGAUUUUAGAUUCUAUGCUCAUAUUAUUUAUUUAAUUUAAACCAAAGGCAGUAUAUUUCAAAAAAGAAAUUAAACCAAGAUCUUGUAAUUCAUUUUGCAAAUCACAGCCGGCGACAGCAGGCGCGAGUGACGAAAGUAAAUAUAUUACUUCAAAGUUACUUUGAUGAAAUACAUUUCAUGUAGUGCACCAAAAAAUAGUUUGUUGUGAAACAACAAAAUAGAUUAAGCAACUAAAAACUCAAGAACGCAGAGCGGAGCGAAGCGAAGCUCUGCGGUCUUGUUUCUCUAUCUCGUGCUCUGUCUCUCUCUCGCCACAGCACCAUGGCAUACAAUUAAACGCAAAUAUCUCUAUGAAAUAUGGAUAAGUAUAACAAAAGCCUUCUAGUAAAUGUGUGCUGUGUUUCUUGCACACGCACAUAUAAAUGCGUAUUUAAUGAGAUUAACAUAAUUAAAACGGUAGGAUUUUAUUGCGAUGAGAGAUCGAGUCAAUUUCCCAAUCGGUUUUUUAGAAAAAAAAAGAUACGGGAAUUGUGGCUUGGGCUUCAUCAUUUGGCUCGGCUUUCUUUCGCUUUAUUCACAUCUCAAAACAGUUCUAUGGCCUUUCUGCGUAUCAAAAAACAAAAUCUCUGAAAUAAUUCGCCUGUUUAAUUUGCCCAACGUGAUCACUAAUUUGUUACAAAACCAUUUGAUCGUUGAUGAUUCUUUUUUUUCGGAGGAAAUAGGUUCAAAAUUAAGACCGUUUUUUUUUAUAACAUUCAUUCUUCAUAAUAACCUUACUCUUGUUAUCAAUCAUCUGUGGGAGCAAAAACCAAACAAAGUUGUUAACACUCAACUGAAUGUUAAACGACCAUAACUAACAAGCGCAUGUGGUACAAUGUAUGUUAUAGGGAGAGAAAAAAAAGAACGACCAAAAAAUCGCCGUAGUUGUUUUUAUAAAUUCAUACAGAUUUUCAUUCAUUCAAUGAACAUGAACGGUGCUCUUAUUUCCCAUUCCAAAGUGCGAUCAGAGAGGUCAUAGUCAACGAGAGAGAGCGAGAAAAAAAACUGUGUGGCAUUUUUUCGUUGUCUGUCCCUUAUUAUUCUUUGCUGGGCAAACAUUUACAUUGAGAAGCACACACAUAGCGAAGAGAGAAUCAGAAUCAGUCACAAUUUCAUGUAAUAUUUUUUUGUUUUGUUGAAUUCGAGUCACGAUUAUCAUUGAAUGGAACGAUGCAAACAAAAUUCUCUCUCUCUCUUGCUCACUCGCCGUGUGAUGUCUUUCGUUUGAUGCCUUUUUUGAACUCAAACACCGGAUGUUGAUAAGAAAUUUAUUUCAAACCGAAUAACGAAAUCAAAUCUCUGACGAAUAAAAAAAAAGAAAACAGGCGCACACAACUGAUUUCGAGCAUAUUUUCACUCUUCUUCUUCUGGCUGUAAGCCGACCGAUUACAAACUUAAUGAAAAGCACGAUCGAUUUCAUAGUUUGAUGCUUUUCGUUAUUAAUUUUGGUUUUUGUUCUUCGUUUUUUGGUUAAAUUGUUUAAUUUUCAAUCAUUUUUCGAGGCGAUUAUGUUGAUGUUUCCGUCUGACGCGCGUGUAAAAUUCAAAUCGAAUCGAAUUGGAUCGCAUUUACCUUUACCGCGCAAGAACGACGAACGGCAAAAAAACGGGUAAUUGUCUUAUUUUGCGGUUGUCGGUUGUGAUGCGGCACUUUCUUCAUUGGCCGCCCCGGCCAAGCUUAGAAUUCGCUACAGCCAUCCAUUAUGCUAUCAUAUUCAUUUUCAAUUUAACCAAUCAACAAGUAAUUAUCUACAAAGUUUUACCAGGCCCAUUGGCAAAUGGUAGAACUACACAAGCCUGUUGGUGCCGCUUCUGCUGCUGUAAGUGCAUCAACGGCAGGCAAUUGAUCGCACAGUUUUCAUAACUUGAAGAGCGAACAGAACAUGAUUCGGUCUAUAAGUUUCAAGGCUGAUAUGUUUCUGUUUGGACGCUGUUGUUGCUGUUGUUUUUUUUUUUCGUUGUACGUUCGUUGUUUUCGUGCUAUUGGUUCCGAAAUACCGUUUACAAACAUUCUCCAAUUGAACCAACAAACCAUUUUCUUUACCUGCAGCUCAACAAUUAUGCAUCGUUCCAGACGAAAAGCACAAAUGUAUCUCUCUCUAGUUUUUUUUUUUCACUAUUUGCGCACACAUCGGUCAUAUCGUGACCAAAUAGACCACAUCUUCAUUCGUUACUCCGCCAACGACCGCUAAUAAGAAAUUUUCAAUACAAAAAAAAGAAGAAGAAAAAA